rnacentral:piRNA from 1 species
UAAAACGCCUUUUGUUGCCUGUCUACAUUCUA